UAAUCUUGUUUGUGUAUCAACUUUAAUGGGUUAGACAUUGUCGUUGUUGUUUCUUCUCAUCCAAGCAUGGCUGCUUAUUUCUUAUGAUUUAGUUACUUCAAGCUGUUUAUCAUUAACAGUAGCAUCUGAAGGGACAUCUCCUCAGGCAGUGAAAUUAUGAUUUGUGGCAGUUUGAACUGCCACUAUUAGCACCUUUUUUUUAUAAAAAAAUUAGCAUCUCUGAAAUGUGAGAUUACCUGCUGUAAUUAAUUCACUCAUCUUCAUCGGAGAAGUGCAAAUUUAUUGUGGAAAGACCAUUCUGACAGACUCAUUUAAAGUUCUGUUGAACCUUCCUGGUUUCUCUUCUACUUAUUUGGCUUCCUUUUCUGUCAUGAUAGAUUUUCAAGGCAACCUGACCAGUGGAAGUCAAGACAAGCUUCACAACAAUCUGCUCUCAAAGAAUUUUAUGCAACAUUUGGACCAGCGGAAACCAAAUCAUUUGAAAAGGAUAGCUUUCUUGCUGAUUCUGUUUCCAAAUCAAAGCCAGGAAAGUUGAAAGACAUUAGGAAAGAGAUUGAGACGUCUUUGCCUUCUGCCAAAACUUCCAAUACCCCAUUUUUGGCUCAUCAGGUUUCAAAAAAAGUGAAAAGGUCUAAAUCCGAGAAGAAAAGACAUAGGAAAGACGGCGAGUCAGCAUCUCAAAGAACGAAGAUCAAAGUUUAACUGUAAUAUUUUUAGGUUCUUUAUUCAGUUUUAUGUUACUGUGAAUGAUCAGUUUUGGUCACUUUUUGUUGUUUGAUCAGAAAGGAUGGGACUUCUAUUGGUUGUCGAAAGCACUUGAUUUAGUUCAUGCAAUUUUUGUUCUUCAUUCUAGUUGGAUUAUUCAUAAGUUUAAAUUGUUGGUUCAUAAAUGCACUGAUAUGAAAAGUUAAUAGUAUUCACAUUUAUGAACUUUGGGAAAUACAUCUAGCAACAAAUUUCUUAGCUACCAAGGAACAAAAUUGGAUCCUGUUUUUCUGCUGCAAGUGACUAUCUUAACUGGAUAGUGGAAACUAACUUUGUACUAUCAAGCUACAUUGAUAUUGAAUGAACGAAUUGAUUUGGAGGCGCUGUUCUUUGCUGAGGUGGUACUUCUCGUACUCAUCCUAUGGAGGCGUGAACCUGGUACAACAAUGUGAUAUUUGAGAUAACUGCUUAUGGAGACCCUUGAGUGUUUGUGAUGUUGAAGUUUCUUGGGACCGAUGCUCUUUACUAGAGAGCAACCGCGCUGCAUGUGCGACAUUGGACUCUGAACGAAGAAUUAGCAUAAGGGCUAGAACAACAACAACUAGUAUUUUUAAUUGGCUCUUGAUAGUCAUGAUGUAAGCUGAGUUAAAGGAUGUUAGUGAUGUUUCUUCCGCUGCAAGGUGAGUGGAAUAAGAGAUCAUCAAGAUAGUAGUAGUAUGUUGUUUAUGGUGAUUUGGUAGGCUUUGAAGCUGAGCUGAUGAGAUUUAUAUAUAUGAUGUUUGAAUGUGUUGAAGGAUAUUAUGCUUAGUGGGAUCAUGUGAUGUUC